rnacentral:rRNA from 1 species
UGGGGAAUUUUGGACAAUGGGCGAAAGCCUGAUCCAGCAAUGCCGCGUGUGUGAAGAAGGCCUUCGGGUUGUAAAGCACUUUUGUCCGGAAAGAAAUCCUUGGCUCUAAUACAGUCGGGGGAUGACGGUACCGGAAGAAUAAGCACCGGCUAACUACGUGCCAGCAGCCGCGGUAAUACGUAGGGUGCAAGCGUUAAUCGGAAUUACUGGGCGUAAAGCGUGCGCAGGCGGUUUGCUGAGACCGAUGUGAAAUCCCCGGGCUCAACCUGGGAACUGCAUUGGUGACUGGCAGGCUAGAGUAUGGCAGAGGGGGGUAGAAUUCCACGUGUAGCAGUGAAAUGCGUAGAGAUGUGGAGGAAUACCGAUGGCGAAGGCGAGCCCCCUGGGCCAAUACUGACGCUCAUGCACGAAAGCGUGGGGAGCAAACAGGAUUCAGAUACCCUGGUAGUCCACGCCCUAAACGAUGUCAACUAGUUGUUGGGGAUUCAUUUCCUUAGUAACGUAGCUAACGCGUGAAGUUGACCGCCUGGGGAGUACGGUCGCAAGAUU